UUCAAGCUAAGUUGAGGUCAAGGGUCAAAUAUCAACCUAUCAGAGUCACAGUUUAGUUACAACUGUACUUCACUUCAAGUUGACUCACUUAAUUCGUAUAAAUUGUUACCCAAUGACCUUUGUGCCAGUUUCAUACAAUCAUGCUGCUAUCAUAUGAGCUAUAACACUCAGGGGGUGGCACUUACAUUUGUGACUCAGGAGUUUGUCAAGUGACUGUGCCCAUUGGUUGACUUCCUCCACUGUUGGCCUGAGGAAGAAGAGAACAGUCAUAUUAGAUCAACAUGUACAAGAAGCAUACUGUAGUAGUAGUAGUAGUAAAUACUGCUUAUAGUGAUACAUAUUAAGUUGGUUCAUAAUCAGAAUAUAGAGCCUUAUCAUAGUCCUUACUUUACUUCCAUUACAUAAUUCAAAUCCCUGAGCCUCACCUGUAAGAUCUUCCUGCCAUGCAUUUUGAAGAAGAAAAAGAAGAGGUGAUCUUCAAAAGAUAGCGUAUCCUUGUCCUCCAGUUUCUUUUCCUGAAAAAUGCAAUACUUUCUGUUAGGAUAAUGUGACCGCUAUCAUUGCUGAACAAUUUCAAAACAACCAGCAUUAAUAAUACAAACAUGAAUCAUUAAAUAACUUACUUGAUUCCUUUUGUAUCAAUAGAGAAAUCCGAUGCCUUCAUACAGUCUGUACACGCCAUGUCCCUUUCUGAUACAACACACUCUCUCAUGAUUCUGAGGGGUGACACUGAAUAUAGUCCUGACUAUAGCAAGCAAGUUAAUCUACCUCCCUCUAGAGCAGUCAGAGCACUUUAUAGUUUCUCUCUGAUAUCGUCAUGCUAGAAAGGUGGGCCUAGACUAGAGUAACAGAUCUGUAACCUGAUUGGCCCACUCUAUGUAAACAGUUGACUAGGCCAUCCGCUGAUGGUAAGAGCCUGAGGGAGAAAAAGGCAGUGCUAGGGAAUGUGAUUGGCUGUUUAGUGUAAAUGUUUACACUACUGAGAGUGCUUGUGCUUCCAUUUUUAACUCAGGGUGAGACGGUGAGCCAAUGACGUAGAGGCACACCAAGGCCCUCCAAAACCAUAUUAAAGUUUAGAGGACUGACGAGGAUAGGAUUGGUCAGAGGUGUUUCCUCCUAGGAGAUAGCUGUACACUGUAUGGGCAUCUCAGGAGUCUCAGGAGAGGUUUGUUCUGGUGACAUUGGGGACUCGCUGGUGCAGGCCGCCCCUAGAAACUCUACCUCAGAGUGUUGUGGUGUGUUUGUGGACUCCUGUGGAGAGAUCGGCUGGUCACAUCUACCUAUAGUUAGUAUACUAUGAAAAACUAAAUAGAGGCGUGUCUUGGUGAAUCAGAUUUGGACAAGGAUGAACAGAUGAGUCAUGCCCUAGGUGUAUCUAAUUUAACUGAGUUUCAGGGUGGUAAAGAGGGACACCAACACAUGCAACAUGUGUGAGCAAGACACUGUGAGCAAGACAAAGGAGCUGAUCAUGGACUACAGGAAAAGGCGGGCCGAACAGGCCCCCAUUACAUCGACGGGGCUGUAGAGGAGCGAGUCGAGAGUUUCAAGUUCCUUGGUGUCCACAUCACCAACGAACUAUCAUGGUCCAAACACACCAAGACAGUGGUGAAGAGGGCCCAACAACAUAUUUUUCCCCCUCAGGAGACUGAAAAGAUUUGGCAUGGGUCCCCAGAUCCUCAAAAGGUUCUACAGCUGUACCAUCGAGAGUAUCCUACGCGGUGUUAGAAGAAAGACCAAACAUUUUUCAAAGACUCCGAUCACCCAAGUCAUAGACUGUUCUCUCUGCUACCGCACCGCAAGCGGUACUGGAGCGCCAAGUCUAGGACCAAAAGGCUCCUUAACAGCCUCUACCCCAAAGCCGUAAGACUGCUGAACAAUUGA